AUUGAUAUUCUUGCAAAUUGAAUAAAAUGAUUGAUUAUGCGUGCCCAACAAUCCUGUUUAUACAUGAUCAGUGGACACCUUUUCUUGUUUAUGACUUGCAGUUGAAAUUUCUCAUUAUCUUGGAGAAGUGCUGUCCAGUUAUGAAGUCUAUUUCUGUUUAUAAAGACAAACCUGUGUAAGGUAUAAAAAUGGGAAGGAAAGCUGCAAGAGAAAAGGAUAUGUAAGAUGAAUAAAAAUGAAACAAAGGUGUCAAGCAACUCAAGUAAUUGUUAAUUGGUGAAAAACACAAGUCAAUUGAAGUGACUAAUGGAGGUUGAUGUUUGAAAAUAAUCAGAACACAAUCUUGUAGCUUGGAGGCAGUCACAAUGCAAACUGUGUUGCAUAGUCACUGUGAUCAUUAAAGAUAAUUUGUUGUUUUGCAUUUCAAUGCAUGAUUAAAAGAUGCAUAACUGGGUUGGGGAACAUUACUUUUAACAAACUCAAAUGACUUAAACAAAAAGUUACUAACCUCCUUGGAGCAAGGCAUGUUCUUGUUUUAGUAUCAACAUAUUUGUCUACAAAGAUCUUAUAUGAUUAGAAGAAGACUUGCAUGGUUAUCAUAAUUGCCAAAGUUUUUGCCCUUUAAUCAUUUUUUAGUUCUUGCCUUUGUAAGAUUAUUUGCCCUUUCACUGCAUCUGUGUCAAAGUUGAGAGUUCUUGCUUUUAAUAAUUUUUGUUUGAAUUUGUGGCAAAAAUUCUUGUCUGAUUUUAAUGGUCUUAUUUUUAUCCUUGCAAGCUUUUACUUUGCUUUAAUAUUUAUUUGUUUUUCAGGCACAAGGACUUCGUAGAUGU
rnacentral:misc_RNA from 1 species